GGGGCUGAUUCUGGAUUCGACGGGAUUUGCGAAACCCAAGGUGCAUGCCGAGGGGCGGUUGGCCUCGCAAAAAGCCGCAAAAAAUAGUCGCAAACGACGAAAACUACGCUUUAGCAGCUUAAUAACCUGCUUAGAGCCCUCUCUCCCUAGCCUCCGCUCUUAGGACGGGGAUCAAGAGAGGUCAAAUCCAAAAGAGAUCGCGUGGAAGCCCUGCCUGGGGUUGAAGCGUUAAAACUUAAUCAGGCUAGUUUGUUAGUGGCGUGUCCGUCCGCAGCUGGCAAGCGAAUGUAAAGACUGACUAAGCAUGUAGUACCGAGGAUGUAGGAAUUUCGGACGCGGGUUCAACUCCCGCCAGCUCCACCA
rnacentral:tmRNA from 1 species